rnacentral:rRNA from 1 species
UACGGAGGAUGCGAGCGUUAUCCGGAUUUAUUGGGUUUAAAGGGUGCGUAGGCGGUAUUUUAAGUUAGUGGUAAAACGUCGGGGCUUCACCUUGAUUGGCCAUUAAAACUGGAGUACUAGAGUACAGACGAGGUAGGCGGAAUAAGUUAAGUAGCGGUGAAAUGCUUAGAUAUAACGCAGAACUCCGAUUGCGAAGGCAGCAUACCGGCGCUCAACUGACGCUCAUGCACGAAAGUGUGGGUAUCGAACAGG